rnacentral:lncRNA from 1 species
GAAAACUGUAUCCUGACAGCUGCCCACCUGUGCCUUUGGCUGGUGGGAGUGGAUCUUUUGUCAUCAGUGACACCAGUGAUUAUGAUGUUGAGGGUGUGGAAGAUGAGGCCAACAUUGAAGUGGAGGAGUGCAAGCCCCGUGAUGUCAAUCUCUUCAAUUUAGGCGUAGGAGCCAGAGAUAGGCUUAUGGUGCCACCACUGGCUCCUUCGAUCAAGGGAGAGCUUGUAGAGACCAACUCAGAUUUCAUCCAGAAGAGGAAGCAGCCACCUGAUGAGCCGCAUAUAAUGAUGGAUCAGAAAAUGUAUACCUGUGAAUACACUCAAUGCCCCUACAACAAUUACCGUCUUGCGUUUCUCGACAGGGCAUCCAGAAACAAUCAUCAGAUGAAUUGUCUAUACAGGAGUAAUUCUUCACAAGGGUUUGGAAUGUCGAAUUUCCAAAUUAACAAUGAGAAACCAGCAGCCUUCUCUCUACCCUUUGCUCAACCCAAGGCAGCAGCUCCACCAGUGAACCAGUCUCCUGCUUUCAAUGUUUCAGGACUUGGACUUCCAGAAGAUGGGCAAAAAAUGAUUUCUGACCUAAUGUCAUUCUAUGACACAAAUCUCCAGCGAAACAAGAGCUUGAAUCCUGGGAACCUUAAUGUUAUGGAAGAUCAAAAUCAGCCGCAGCAGCAGCAGCAGCAGCAGAAGUUUCAACUUCAGCUAGAUGAUAACUUCUUCAAUCAGGGGGUUAUGAUGGGUGGCAACAUCACUGAAGAAACAAACAUGCCCUUAAAUCAUUCUGUUUUCUCGUCAAGUGAGAUCCAGUUUGAUCAGUGUAAAGCAUUUGAUUCUCCAUUUGACACCAACCCAAAUGACAACAUUGCUGACUUUAGAUUUGGGUCUCCAUUCAACUUGGCAGCAGUAGAUUAUACGGUGGACCCACUGCCAAAGCAGGAUGUAUCCAUGUGGUACCUUUGAAAACACAAACAGGCAUCCCAUCUUAGAGCUAUCUGCGGAAGUUGGGGAGAGGGGGCCUCUGGUGGAAGGAAUGGGAUAAAGCUGUAUAUUCUGGGAGGAAGAUCAUCUUUGC